rnacentral:ncRNA from 2 species
GACAACAUGCAAGCGCCUGGACCAGUUUAAGGGAUAGACUGGUUGACGAGGGGGGAGCUAAUCGAAGUUUUCGGCGGAUGCUCCCCGGUAAGUCACAACCGUUAAAGGCGGCACAAAUCCGGCGGGCAACCGCCGGGACAAAAACGCCGGGUGACCGCGG